rnacentral:rRNA from 1 species
CAGUCGCCGCGGGAAUACGUAGGGUGCAAGCGUUAAUCGGAAUUACUGGGCGUAAAGCGUGCGCAGGCGGUUCUAUAAGACAGAUGUGAAAUCCCCGGGCUCAACCUGGGAACUGCAUUUGUGACUGUAGAGCUGGAGUACGGCAGAGGGGGAUGGAAUUCCGCGUGUAGCAGUGAAAUGCGUAGAUAUGCGGAGGAACACCGAUGGCGAAGGCAAUCCCCUGGGCCUGUACUGACGCUCAUGCACGAAUGCGUGGGGAGCAAACAGGAUUAGAUACCCGCGUAGUCCCUGUCUCUUAUAC